AGUGAACGCUGGCGGCGUGCUUAACACAUGCAAGUCGAACGAGAACGGAUUAUAGCUUGCUAUAAUUGUCAGCUAAGUGGCGCACGGGUGAGUAAUGUAUAGAUAACCUGCCCUUAAGAAAGGAAUAACAGUUGGAAACGACUGCUAAUGCCCUAUAUGCCUUUAAUACAUAAGUAUGCAAGGGAAACGCUUUAGUGCUUAAGGAUGGGUCUGUAUGGUAUCAGCUUGUUGGUGAGGUAAUGGCUCACCAAGGCUAUGACGCCUAACUGGUUUGAGAGGAUGAUCAGUCACACUGGAACUGAGACACGGUCCAGACUCCUACGGGAGGCAGCAGUGGGGAAUAUUGCACAAUGGACGAAAGUCUGAUGCAGCAACGCCGCGUGGAGGAUGACACAUUUCGGUGCGUAAACUCCUUUUAUAUAGGAAGAUAAUGACGGUACUAUAUGAAUAAGCACCGGCUAACUCCGUGCC
rnacentral:rRNA from 1 species